UACGUAGGGGGCAAGCGUUGUCCGGAUUUAUUGGGCGUAAAGAGCGUGUAGGCGGCUAGGUAGGUCCGUUGUGAAAACUCGAGGCUCAACCUCGAGACGUCGAUGGAAACCAUCUAGCUAGAGUCCGGAAGAGGAGAGUGGAAUUCCUGGUGUAGCGGUGAAAUGCGCAGAUAUCAGGAGGAACACCGAUUGCGAAGGCAGCUCGCUGGGACGUUACUGACGCUGAGACGCGAAAGCGUGGGGAGCAAACAGG
rnacentral:rRNA from 1 species